rnacentral:tRNA from 2 species
UAAAAGGUCGGGAUAGCUCAGUUGG